rnacentral:misc_RNA from 1 species
GAUGAAGAACGUAGCGAAAUGCGAUACUUGGUGUGAAUUGCAGAAUCCCGUGAACCAUCGAGUCUUUGAACGCAAGUUGCGCCUCAAGCCAUUAGGUUGAGGGCACGUCUGCCUGGGCGUCACAUAUCGUUGCCUGAUGCCAGUUUCCUCGUGAUGGGUGACUGUGCAGGGCGAAUGAUGGCUUCCCGUGAGCAUUGUUGUCUCAUGGUUGGUUGAAAAUUGAGUCCUUGGUAGGGAGCGCCGUGAUAGAUGGUGGUUGAGUGACGAACGAGACCCAAUCAUGUGAGACCCCUACCGAAUUUGGCCUUCAUGACCCACAUGCGUCUUUGGAACGCUCAUGACGAGACCUCAGGUCAGGCGGGGCUACCCGCUGAGUUUAAGCAUAUCAAUAAGCGGAGGA